rnacentral:rRNA from 1 species
GACGAACGCUGGCGGCGUGCUUAACACAUGCAAGUCGAACGGAAAGGCCCUGCUUUUGUGGGGUUCUCGAGUGGCGAACGGGUGAGUAACACGUGAGUAACCUGCCCUUGACUUUGGGAUAACUUCAGGAAACUGGGGCUAAUACCGGAUAGGAGCUCCUGCUGCAUGGUGGGGGUUGGAAAGUUUCGGCGGGUGGGGAUGGACUCGCGGCUUAUCAGCUUGUUGGUGGGGGAGUGGCUUACCAAGGCUGUGACGGGUAGCCGGCCUGAGAGGGUGACCGGCGACCUGAGGCCUACGAGACGGCCCAGACUGCAACGGGAGGCAGCGGUGGGGAGUCUUGCACAGUGGGCGCAAGCGGGAUGCAGAGGCGCCGCGUGCGGAAUGACGGCCUUCGGGUUGAGAAAAGCUUUAGCCUGUGACGAAGCGUGAGUGACGGUACUGGGUAAAGAAGCACCGGCUAACUACGUG